UACGUCAUUGCGUACGUAGUACACGCCAAGACGCACGCAACGUCAGCCUCACUCGACGGUGUUCGACUCCGUAGUUGUUCGGGCAGUCUUGAGGUCGUCGCUGAGCCGUCACUAUGGUGAAGAUCUUCAUUGGGAACAUUGCCCAAGAGGCGGAGAAGGAUGAGCUGGAGGCUCUGUUCACGCCGUACGGCCAGGUCACAGAGUGUGCCAAGUACAAGAACUACGCCUUUGUUCACAUGGAUGACCGGAAGUCGGCCACCAAAGCCAUCCGCGAGCUGCACGGCCACAAGCUCCACGGCAGGCCCAUCAACGUGGAGCCCAGCCGGGGCAAGAACAACGGGCCCGUGAAGCUUCACAUCGCCAACGUGGAGAAGGGCCACGACGACGAGCUCCGCGCGCUGUUCGAGGAGUACGGAGACGUGUCCGAGUGCGCCAUCAUCAAGAACUUCGCCUUUGUGCACAUGCCCAACAGCGAGGAAGCGAUGGACGCAAUAAAGGGACUGGACAACACCGAGUUCCAGGCCAAGCGCAUCCACGUCCAGAUGUCGAGGAAUCGCCCACGGGGCGGAGAGGAGGAGGAGGAGUACCCUCCGCCCAUGCACCGGGGAGGUUACUUCCCUCCCCGGCAUUACCCGGGACCGGACCACCCCGACAUGCACUACAGAGGGCGCAUGCAUGGGUACCCUCCUCCCCCACCCCCGCCACCUCCUCCGCGUCGGCCCGCCUACCCGGAGCACCCGUACGGCGGCGAGCGGGACGGAUACAACGUGGUCGACUACUACGAGAAGUACCGGGCAAGACCCUACGCCCCGGCGCCCUACGCCUCCGCCGCCCCGCCUUCCUACCCGGCACCCCCGUCCUACGCCCCGGCGCCCUCCUACGCCCCGGCGCCCUACAUGGACAGGCGGGCGCCCCCCAUCCCACCACCACCCCCCUCUGCGAGGGAGCGGCCCUACGACCCUUACGAUGGUCGUUCCCUGGGCGCCCCUCCUCCACCCACUUCGGCCGCCGCCUACUACGCCAGGGACAGGAGUCCCAUCCGGCGCACUCCUCUCCCCACCCCGCCGCCCCCCUCCGGCAACGGCUACUCGUACGAGAGGUCCCGGCUGUCACCGGUGCCCCGGCCCCCCAUGUACGCGCUGCCCCGACCCAGGGACCCGUACGGAGCUCCGCCGCCGCCGCCGCCACGCUAUGCUGGCUAUUAGCAUCGCUGGAAAGCAAGAGAGAGACCCAAGGUUACCAUACCCCUCGCCCCCUGCACAGGGGUUGACGUAACGCUAUGCCAGGUGUCGGCGCUACACGGUAAGUGUCCAUCAGGAGAGCCCUCUGACAGGAUGAGCUGGGUAGGUACUACACCAAAAUGACCAUCUGUGACAUCCCGCGCACAUCCCGCCCUCUUGUUUAAACUGUGUCUGUACCCUGAUCUCUCACCGCAGGGGAGCCGUCCUGGGAAGGCAGCGGUGGCUUGCGGCCAGCUGAACUGUAUUGGCUGAGCGCCAGUCAGGCCCAGCGCUGAUGGGAAUCUACGUGUAGGCUUCAAAGGUGAUUUCAGUGGCUUGCCCAAUAGGAAGAGUCCCUAUUUUCCGAACUAUGAUGGAUCACUCUAAACACAAAGAAUAUGGAAAAUAUUAACUGGGAGGAUUUGCCAUCUUCUGGGUAGGUCACCAAGUACUAAGGAAGUGUGGGUAAGACCUUGCUUGAAAAGAAAAGGCCUUUACUCUAUGAAAGGGUAAAAGCCUUUGUGAAAUCCGGAGGAUGGCAAGAUUGAAGAACUCGGGGCUUAAAUCUUUAAGCCCCGAAUGAUCUAACUGGUGCCUGUUGGUUGAAGCCAGCUGCCUUAAAAUGUGGAUGUUUUUUUAAUUUUUGUUUAAUGUAUACAAAGAUCUGGCUUCAAAUUGUGUCAUUUGAGAUCCCAUGUAAUGCUCUUUACAGUUUUUGUCAAAAAAUGUCGUAAUUUCUUCAACUGCAGGCAGCCGAUACGGUCUUACUCCAUGGAAAGGAUGUGAGGCUGACGGAUCAGAACCACUACAUCAAAAACCAGUGUAGAUCAGUGAUGCAGUCAUGAAACUGAAACCAAACCAAGUCGUCAUCCCCCCCAGCCCACCCAUAAUGAAUGCAGAUGAAAAGGCACAGAUGCUGAUCAUGCUCAAAAAAGGAAUUGCUCUGUUAGAUGUAUGUUUCUGAGCCUGCCUGGGAGGGGGUGAAGAAUUGUGGGGUGUCCAGAUUACACAGGCCGUUUGCGGAGACGGCCCGAGUGGAUGUCUCAGGUUCACUAAUUGGGGGCAGACGGGCCACUGUGACUGCCUGCUGCCUCUCAUCCAUGUCUGCCCCUGUGCAGACAUGGUGCUGUGCUGAGUACCAGUCUUCAGGCUACUCGGAUAAAAGAGGCGCUGCUGGGCCCCCGGUCAUGUCCUCAACUCAAGGAACGUGAAACUGGCCCCUCACUCGACCUCCAUGCUGAGGCCCAGCCCAGUGACGAUGCACAUGAGAGGUCUGUCAUAUCUUGUAGAAGGAACAACCCAAAUGAUCUCUUGACCCGAAACUUCUGUGGUGCACGUGGCAGAGUAACAUGUGAUAACAUAUCGUUGUAUUAAAAAAAAAAAGAUAAAGCAUUUAUUCUGAUCCAGACCUUGCCUUGGUGUCAAUUUUUUUCUAAUCACUAACUAAAAAAACUGCACGGAAAUCAAAGGGAUCAAUGUAGGUCACUGGAAAAUAACCUCUCCUUUUCACUUACCGAGGGCAACGGUCAGGUAUUACCAACACCAUUGAGAGUUGGCUUUUCCAUAUUCGAUUGUAAGGUAUCGCAGGAAGAUAAAGGUUAUGACUAGAUAUCUACUUUGACAGCACUUUCCCACAAGACAAGUAAGCACUCAAACUCAUCUGCUCAUGAUUUAGUUUUAGCAUUGUUCCUUCGACAGAAUAAUAUCAGGUCAAUACAGACUAAAGCUAAAGGCCAUGUGAGGUUAACGUUUGAAAUGAUUAAACUACUUAACUUUACGGUUCAAAUCAACAUUUAUUCUGAGGUCAAAAAAAGUGCCACAAGUCAUGCUUGACAAACGGAGGGUUUACUACAACCAGAUACAUGUGUCCGACGCUCAAACAUUUCUUUCACUUCCUCUACAUGGUGUGCGGAGAACAACCUCAUCCUCAACACCUCAAAGAACAAAGAGCUGAUCGUUGAUUAUAGGAGGAAUAAGCCGGACAUUCAGCCCAUCUAUAUGAACGGGGAGAGCGGGCAGAGAGUCUCGGACCUCAGGUUCCUGGGCAUGCACAUUCAGCAGGACCUGACCUGGAUAAUAAACACCAAGGCCCUUAUGAAAAAGGCCCAACAGAAACUAUUUCCUAAGGAUCCUCAGGAAGAACAAUCUUCCGGAGAAAAUGCUGAUGUCCUUUUAUCGCUGCACCAUUGAGACUGUCCUAAGCUACAGCAUCUUGCUGUGGUUUGCCAGUUGCACUGCAGCUGAGAGGAAAGCGCUCCAGAGGGUCAUAAAAACGGCACAAGAAGUCAUUGGAUGUCCUCUUCUCUCUCUUGAGGAUGUCUACAAUAGACACUGCCUCAGGAGAGCUCAUAGCACCCUGAGACACUCAUCCCACCCAGGCCAUAACCGGUUUGAACCGUUGCCCUCUUGGAGGCGCUUCAGGGCAAUCAGAUCAAAAACAAAUAGGCUUAAAAACAGUUUCCACCCCAGAGCUGUUAUUUCUCUAAAUAAUCCAGAAUUAUAAAUUAUUGCAUUAUCAUACCAA